UUGACGGAGAGUUUGAUCCUGGCUCAGGACGAACGCUGGCGGCGGGCCUAAUACAUGCAAGUCGAACGCAGUCGACCUUCGGGUCAUAUGACUGAGUGGCGAACGGGUGAGUAACACGUGAGAAACCUGCCCCGAAGACUGGAAUAACCCGAGGAAACUCGGGCUAAUACCGGAUGUCCCCAGAUGGCCGCAUGGCCGACUGAGGAAAUGCUCCGGCGCUUUGGGAGGGUCUCGCGGCCUAUCAGCUUGUUGGUGAGGUAACGGCUCACCAAGGCUUCGACGGGUAGCUGGUCUGAGAGGACGAUCAGCCACACUGGGACUGAGAUACGGCCCAGACUCCUACGGGAGGCAGCAGUAGGGAAUCUUGCGCAAUGGGCGAAAGCCUGACGCAGCCACGCCGCGUGAGUGAUGAAGGCCUUCGGGUCGUAAAGCUCUUUCAGCAG
rnacentral:rRNA from 1 species